rnacentral:hammerhead_ribozyme from 1 species
AUCCAGCUGACGAGUCCCAAAUAGAACCAAACGUGCCUUGUCCUGGAU